GUGACUUUCCCCCCCUAAGAGAUGAUAGAUUGCUUUUUUCCCCUCAGUGCAAACCAGAAAUUGAAGCAGACGGAGCAUGUCUUCCACAGUGUCAGGCAAGGGAGUUGGCUUGCGGAGAGUCAGCCCGGACAUACUGGGAGAGCAGGGAACCUGGAAGAACUCGAAUUCCCAACACCUUCACCCUCCGUGUAUAUGGUCCAGAUUUCUCCACCUGGCCACCAGUGCUGUGAUCAUCAGUUCCAUCCAGGAAAGCAACGUGGAGCCAGAGAGAGACAGGCAUCCUUAAAGUGGGCCAGGAAUGAGCUCAUUUUGGAACCAGAUGAGGGAAGUUUGCCUUCCUGGAAACAGCGGCACUUGGCGGACAGGCUGUCGGUGGAAGCGAUGACUCAGUUGAAAACGAAGCUGGGAAGGCACAAGACGACCUGCUGUUCCCAACACAGUCUUGCUCAUCCUCUAAGACCUGGAUAGAGUCUCACCGUUUCCAGCAGGCUCCCCGUCUCCCACAGCUCACACUGCCUCCAACCACCUCUGAACAUGCUGAAGCAGCCGAUUUCAUGCCCAGUUUUAUAUUUCCCUGUACCGAUCUUUAUUACUGAACAAAAACUUUCCAUCAAUCAUUCAAUCAGCAAGUGUGUCUUCCCCACAUAACAGUUCCUCCUGGCCUCAUGUAGUGCCCCACAGCAAGAGCCAAGCAGAAAUCACCUCAGGCCAGGCUGGCAGGUAAAUGAGUAUAACAGAAUAUACCCUGGUGGCAAGACACAAUUUGCAUAUGAGACAAGAAGGAAGAGUUGUCAUUUCCACAGAGAAAUCUGCUCCCUUCCGUUUUGCCUGACACACACGGGCCACUCCAUUUUUUAUUCUCUCACGUGGAUGGGGACAUUGGCAUAAUAUGUAUUUCGUUAUUGCCUUAGCUCUGCUGUAUGGAAAUACCAGCUCGAGUGCAAUGAUAAAUGGCAUUGGCGCUCAGUUUCUAUGACGAGGACACAGGGAGUGCUGGGGACUUGCAGUGAGGCAGAGGAUGCACGAACAUUGCUACCCGGUGAGCUUGGAGUGUCCAGGGUGCCACAGCAUUGGCUCUUCCGAGGGAAACCAGAAACCUCUGCAAGCCACAAGAGCUUGCAUGUGACCUGUGGACACUUUCCCGUGCCGGGGACAUGGGUGACAGAUGCCACCUGAUGGGGCUGUAUUACAGUCAGACAGCCCGGGGUGUAGGCAACCUCUGGGUUCUGACCUGGGAUGAAGUAUCUUUCUCAGGAGCAUGCAUGGAUGAGGUGCAAUCACUCACAUGUUGAUAUGGGAUAUUUUGCUUCUUAAAAGACACACACACACACACACACACACACACACACACACAGACAAGAAAAGCAGACUUAUUAUACCAGGGAUGGUAGCCCUUGUGAGCAUCUGGCUGUUUAUCUGGAACUGAUAAUUAUCCCCAUAUUUGUUUUCAUCCAGGAUGCUGUUUAUUUUACCCCAUUGGGUAGCAGAUUCUCCAUCUUCCUCCUCCUUGGAUAUGUGGGCCCCUUCUAUGCUUAAAAAAGCAUCCUUUCCCCCUUCCCAUCCAGCUCUAUUUUAAGCAGAUUCUGGAAGGAACCUCAGCUCCCUUACCCUGUGUGGAUAACAGGACCUCCACCCCACUCUGUGAUUUUGGGCAUUGGUAGAUCUGGCCUCUGAGAUCCAAGCUCCUCAGGCUUUAUCAACACCACAGUGUUCUCACACUGGUCCACUUGUAUCUCUCUG
rnacentral:lncRNA from 1 species